GUUGGGAAUGGGUAAAUCUUGCUAAGCAACUACGAGAGCGCAACAGAACUAAGCUGAUGGGGAUGCGAGAAACUACCAAAGACGACACCUGGUCGACAAAGAUGGAUGCGAGCAUCUGUCAGUGGUAGAAGAGAUGAAUCACAAAAGUAAAGCUUACAGUCAAAAAUAUGUGAAGCUCGGGAGGGCAUGGUGCUCAAAUACGUGUACCUCGAAACUUAAUUUUGUUCGCCUGCAUCAAUUAUCCAGUUCUGGUCUAACUUCAUUUUGCAAGUUUAAUUGGAAGAGGGAAGGGAGGGAGGGAGAGAGAGAAUGUUGCAUUGCAGCGAGAGAGGCAAAGGGAGGGAGAAGUUAAACAAUGUGAGAUGUAAAUCAAGUGCAUGGUUAAAGUCUGGGUGGAGAUGGAAGGUGUGAUUGCGAGCUAGAUGCACCAUUGAAAAAUGUGGUGAGCCUGGGCUCGGGAGGAAGAGAGGCAAAGAUAAUGGGUGGAGGAAGAAAAGGAAAAGAGUAAUUUAACGGUAAAAAAGACAACAUUCGCUGAUGUACAUGAGGAAACUAAAGGUACUCCACUUGUUCUAAAUUAAUGUUUUCUUUCUCACGAAUCAAUGUGGAACUGUGUACUGACAUUCCUCCUUAUCUGGAAUCUCCAUUUGCACCAUCUAGAAGAAAAUUUAAGGAAGAGACUAAAAGGCACAUACAUGAGUAGCCUCAUUCUUGUCUUAGAAAGUUGGUUCUUAUAUGUCUUAGAAAGUUGGUUCUUAUAUAUAUGUCUUGGAUUAAAAAGAGCAUGAGAACUUGCCAAGCCAUCUGAAAAUGCCAUCAUAGCCAAAACUUUUUUUAGGUUGCUGACAACAUUGAGCUGGACUUGCUUUUUUUGCUACUAUUGCUGAAGACAAACUCCAAAAAAGGGAGUGAAAGCAGAAAGAAGAGAGGUUGCACAAGAUGAGUAAUGAUGGGUAGCGAUAGAGGCUGAAGCUGUGAUGAUGAUGCGGAUAUGACCAUUAGUAUGUUUCCCAUCAAGGAAACCUACAAUUUCUAUUAUGAUACAAAUUUUCUAUUAUGAGGUGUGUUUCUCAUAAAGAAUGUGAUUUCUGCAUGAUAGUUUUCUAAAAACGUGAAGGUUUUAUGCAAAGACUGACAUUUUAGAAGGAUGUAGUAAAAUAUAAACCUUGGUAGGUACUCCUGAAGUUGAAGCUGCUCAAGCAAUAGUAAUUUUUUCCGAGCACUGAACUAUUGUUUCUGGUUUUGCUUAUUGUUAUUCCUCGUAGGAUGUUCAAGAGGAACACCCUUUAAAUUUUGUACUUGUCAUAGCUUCAGGUCCACUUGUGAGCCCUUAUGCAAUUUUGCUUAAGUUAGAUUAGGAUGGGUUCCUUUGACCUUAUGGUCAUGUAUAUAACAACGAGGACCUAUUACGUAUCCUUUUUCCCCUCAGAAAUCUUUAGGUACAAUUGCAUGGUUACGUGCUUCGAAUUAAAAGCGUGUAUGGCAGGUGGUGGAAGGAAAGAUUGCAAGUCAGAUGCACCACUGGUAUACAGUAGACACAAAUUCGUGUUAAACCGUUGAAAUGUUUAUGACCCGUUCCAAUGCACGGGCAGUCAACUAAUUCGGUACGCCAUCAUCUCUCGAGGUAGUGAUAGCCGUCUCAUUUUUUAAAUCAGAUGUACAAUAUGCCAUCAUCUUUUGGAGUAUGUGGGAAAGUUUAGAAGAGAUGCAAGAAAUGGUGCAGUGAGAUGACACACCUUGUCAGAGAUAAUAAAAAUUGAUUGCUUUGGAUGAUGCUUUGAAAAUGUCGAUCGAGAAAGUCACAGAUGUAACUAUGAGCUACUGGACUCAAAAGUCAUCCAGUUUUACACGAUGAGAUGCAUACAAAUAAUUAUUCUUCCUUGUAUAUAUGUUGCACAUGAUAAUACUUCUUUUGUGGGGUGUGAGAGAGAUGGAGAUAGAUUACGUUGAUGUUCAAAAAGAAUCCUUCGACAAGGGCCGGCUCAAUUUCAUUGGAAGGAGCCAAAACUACACCAAGGUUUAUACAACAACAUAAUCUAUCUCCAUUGCUAAAAACCUAAAAAGCCCGUGGCAACGCACGAGCAUAUUACUGGAGGUCAACACGAGAUCAGAAAUUUUGCGAGAAGGAAACUAUCCAGACGUUGGCAAUAUUUUUUGAUAACUGGCGUGGGAUGGACAACGACAUCUCAUCGUCCAACAUGGU